GAUGAACGCUGGCGGCGUGCCUAAUACAUGCAAGUCGAGCGAACGGACGAGAAGCUUGCUUCUCUGAUGUUAGCGGCGGACGGGUGAGUAACACGUGGAUAACCUACCUAUAAGACUGGGAUAACUUCGGGAAACCGGCGCUAAUACCGGAUAAUAUUUUGAACCGCAUGGUUCAAAAGUGAAAUACGGUCUUGCUGUCACUUAUAGAUGGAUCCGCGCUGCAUUAGCUAGUUGGUAAGGUAACGGCUUACCAAGGCAACGAUGCAUAGCCGACCUGAGAGGGUGAUCGGACACACUGGAACAGAGACACGGACCAGACACCGACGGGAGGCAGCAGUAGGGAAUAUUACGGAAUGGGCGAAAGCGGGACGGAGCAAAGCCGAGUGAGAGAUGAAGGUGUACGGAUCGUAAAACUCUGUAAUUAGGGAAGAAGAAAAGUGUAAGUAAAUGUGAACAACAUGACGGUACCUAAUCAGAAAGCCACGGCUAACUACGUG
rnacentral:rRNA from 1 species